UCGUUUUCCGCCGCUGGCUCCCACCCCUCCUCUUCGCCCGGGGUGCAAUCGGCGCUCUCUCAGAGACGUACGCGAAGCGACGUGGAAAGCUUUCCACCAAAAAUGCUUUAGGCUGCAAAUAAAAGUUAUUUCACAAAACAGAAGGGCAAAAAUCUCCUGGCCCCUCCAUCUGUGACAAUAUGGGCUAAGUAAAAUAAGUCAGACAGAAAAAGACAAAUACUAUAUGAUCUCACAGAAUCUUGCCAUCGUGUAAGAAGGUGAAACAGUCUGAGGACAGCACACUAAAGGAAGCCUGAGCGUGGAGAAAUACUGAGGAGCCAGAAAAGUGAAUGAGACCUUCUUCGACCUUCCAGGUCUGUUCAAAUUGAUGCACCCAAGUCAAUAAUCCAAGACAAAGGAACAGAAUUGCUCAACCAACCCCUGCCUAAACUCUGGAUCCAAAGAAUCUUGAGAUAAAAAUCUUGGUGACUGUAAGCCUCUAAGAUUUAGACUAGUUUGUUACACAGCCAGAGACGACUAGAACAUCCCAUAAGAUG